CUUACAGGGAAAUGCUGAAUACAACAGGUGUAGUAGACCUUACAGGGAAAUGCUGAAUACAACAGGUGUAGUAGACCUUACAGGGAAAUGCUGAAUACAACAGAUGUAGUAGACCUUACAUUUAAAUGCUGACUGACAAGCCCUUAACCAACAAUGCAGUUUAAAAAAAAAAAAAACGAACAAAAAUAAGAAUAAGAAAUAAAAGUCACAAAUCAAUAUUUGGGUCAAUAAAGUCCACCAACUAACUUUUAGAAACCUGUAACAGUACAGGCAGGUAGCCAAGUAUGAAAGCAAAACAGUAGCAGCGAUAGCAGAGAUUCAUACAGUAUGUGUAACCAUGGCAGAGUAUGUCAUUGAUCUCCAUAUCAUUUAGUCCCAGGCUGUGUUCCACUGUCUCUGAUUUAUGCAGCAUUACAACUAACAGAUGAUCAUUUAUGAGUGGGAG
ensembl:lncRNA